rnacentral:tRNA from 1 species
UCUAACGUGGCAGAUAAGUGCAUUGGAUUUAAGCUCCAAAAAUAAAGUGUUUUAAACUUUCCUUAGAA